rnacentral:rRNA from 1 species
UACGUAGGGUGCGAGCGUUGUCCGGAAUUACUGGGCGUAAAGAGCUCGUAGGUGGUUUGUCGCGUUGUUCGUGAAAACUCACAGCUCAACUGUGGGCGUGCGGGCGAUACGGGCAGACUGGAGUACUGCAGGGGAGACUGGAAUUCCUGGUGUAGCGGUGGAAUGCGCAGAUAUCAGGAGGAACACCGGUGGCGAAGGCGGGUCUCUGGGCAGUAACUGACGCUGAGGAGCGAAAGCUAGGGGAGCAAACAGG